rnacentral:rRNA from 1 species
AUGGCUCAGGAUGAACGCUGGCGGCGUGUUUAACACAUGCAAGUCGAGCGAGAAGCUUCUCAGUAGAUUCUCGGAUGAUACAGAGUUGCGGAAAGCGGCGGACGGGUGAGUAACGCGUAGGCAACCUGCCCCCUGCAGAGGGAUAGCCUCGGGAAACCGGGAUUAAAACCUCAUAAUGCGGCACCGAGACAUCUCGGAGCCGCCAAAGAUUUAUCGGCAGGGGAUGGGCCUGCGUCUGAUUAGUUAGUUGGUGGGGUAACGGCCUACCAAGGCGACGAUCAGUAGCCGACCUGAGAGGGUGAUCGGCCACAUUGGAACUGAGACACGGUCCAAACUCCUACGGGAGGCAGCAGUGGAGAAUCUUGCACAAUGGGCGAAAGCCUGAUGCAGCAACGCCGCGUGAAGGAUGAAGGCCCUUGGGUCGUAAACUUCUGUUCUAAGGGAAGAUAAUGACGGUACCUUAGGAGCAAGUCCCGGCUAACUACGUGCCAGCAGCCGC